ACAUGAUUAUCUGCCAAAAAAAAGGACAAGCACAUUUGACCCCCGAGCGCUAUAAAUAGACACCUAGACCUUCUCAUAACUCUUGUCCACCCACCAAAACCCAGGUCACCUUCAUUCACUACUGAUUCAGGCAUGGGGAGCAAGCUUGCCGCGACCGCCUUCUGCUUCUUCCUCCUCCUCACCUUUGGUUUUGGUAAGGAGAAGACGCCAUGCGAAAGGCCCAGCGAGUAUUACCGGGACAUCGAGUGCCUCGAAUUCAAGUGCAAGAGUUCCUGCCUGAUGGAGCACUUCAGAGACGGGCAAUGCAAUUCUAACUUACAAUGCGUAUGUACUAACCACUGUCGCAAUGGGAGACGCCCGAUUGAAGGCAGGGACGGCUAGAAACCCCCACCUUUGUUGUAAUGGAAUGUAUGCAAACAAUAAUGUGAUGGUUUGGUUUGUCGACCUGA